UUGCUCGAGAGAAGGAUGGGAAGGAGAUCUCGCAGUAUAAAAAGAAGAUUUUGGUCCAGAUGAAAAACUCCAGAAAUUGAAAGAAGAAUUCGCGUUCAGCUGAAAGCGAUGCUGUGCCAAACCCGAGCCCUUCCCCGAGUGAUUCUCCUGGAAUAUUCCUCUUGUGCCAAGAAAUGACACGGUGUCCUUCCAUCUCUCCAGGACCUGUCUGCUCCUCUGCCAGGAGACACGGCGGGGAAAACUCCGAGAAAAUAAUUAGUUAGGCAUAUUCAAGGAGAUUUGAUGAUAAGGCCGAAGGAAAAUACAGGCGUGGAUUUGAUUUCUUAUUUUUAUUUUUAUAUUUUUUUCUUUUAUUCUACUUUUUCCGUGGAGGAUUUCAAACACCCGAUGGUUUUACAGAGAGCAGAAAGUCUUUAAGUUGUUAUGGCAAAGCAGGAGGAGCUGGCAGCCAUGAAAAGGAAGUUGCAUGUCAUAUUAAAAGUGAGCUAGAACUGUCUGGGGUAUUAAUAGACAAACAGAACGAGAGAAAACAGCAUACAAAACAUUACCCGGA